rnacentral:tRNA from 1 species
GAGGAACUAGUUAAAUACAUAACACUGCCUUGUCAAGACAGAGUUGUUAGUGAGACUCUUGCGCUCCUCU